UUUAAAUCCUGACACAAAACCCUGUUUGAGUGAAGAGUUUGACCAUUUUCUCCCUGAAAUGUCUAUUUGAUCUCACAUAAAUCAUUUAAUAUAGGCUCUUUGGGUUGAAGGCAAGAAAUGAUUCACAGGGUGCUUUAAAAGGCCAAAGGAUGAUUGGAAGUGAAACCUUGUAAAUACUGUUCGGCCAAUACGCCUUGUUUCCUGCUCAUUGCGGCAGUUUCAAUGAUUUUGUAUGCAUGCUUGGUACGUCCGAUGUCAAAAGGUAUUCCCGGGCUUAAAGAACUGGAUCACUGUGCCCUUUCGAAGCUAUGCUAAUUUCCAUGGACACACAGAAGUGUUUACCAUGUGUAAGGGAAAAGGCAUACAGCAUAUGGGCCGAUUUUCACAGCUUGUUUGCAUCUUGUGUUUUCAGGUGAAUCAGACUGAGGAGGUGAAGGGUGCCAAUCCAUGACGCUGUGAGUGGAAAGAUGGGGUGGAAUGUGGAAUGGACAAGAUUCGAGAGUAGAUGAAUGAGGCAGUACGGUCAUGUGGCAGAAGGCCCCUCCUGCCUCUAGAUGCCCCUUCAUCCUGAUGGAUGUCAUCAAUAAUGGACGCCCAUUGCUCACUUCCACCCCGGGACACAAAAAAACACAAGCCAGCCGAAGUGGCAGCCCAAGCACAGCAGAGCUCAUCAGCUCCCCCGCAUCGGACCGUACCACAGCACACCACACCAUAGCUCAUCACAGCACGCCAGCAGACUGGCACGGCUCAGCACUCCAGAAAGUCCAGCCCUGCCACAGAGACACAUCUGCAAUAAACCCCCACCCAGAACAAGAGCUGAACACACAACUCACUGUCUACAGCUAAUUAGAGACAUGGGGUGGGUGAUACAAGCAGAUAUUUUCUCAAUCCCAAUAUUCUCGAUUUUGGCAAGCAUCUAUAUACGGUGGGAUCCAAAAUCUUACAUAACUGUAUCUAUUUUGCAUUUUUCCAAUGUAAUAGGUUUCCUUUCAAUAGAAAUUAUAUUGACUGCAUGACAAUUGGAGUACACAAACUUGGGCUGCAAGAACUCCAUAUGUUUGUGUCAAACCUGAUGAUCCUGUUAUUCAGCAAGAAUAGAAACAAAAAAAUGUUACCUUUUGUGUGAUAAAUGCCACAAAUUUGAUUAUUUGAUUAGAGAUGCAUUAUUCAUUUUACAUUAUAACUUUUUUAUAUAGUUUCCUUAUUUCACAUUUGUUUUUUUAAAUGGUAAGUCUGUAUUUCUUUCUUUUUUUUUUCUUCAAAUUUUACAUUUUGAAUACCAAAUAUAAACAUUUUCAAUGUGUUCACAGACUUUUGAACCAUGGUGUAUACAUAACGAUAU
ensembl:lncRNA